rnacentral:rRNA from 1 species
AUUGAACGCUGGCGGCAUGCCUUACACAUGCAAGUCGAACGGUAACAGGUCUUCGGAUGCUGACGAGUGGCGAACGGGUGAGUAAUACAUCGGAACGUGCCUAGUAGUGGGGGAUAACUACUCGAAAGAGUGGCUAAUACCGCAUGAGAUCUACGGAUGAAAGCAGGGGAUCGCAAGACCUUGUGCUACUAGAGCGGCCGAUGGCAGAUUAGGUGGUUGGUGUGAUAAAAGCUUACCAAGCCGACGAUCUGUAGCUGGUCUGAGAGGACGAUCAGCCACACUGGGACUGAGAAACGGCCCAGACUCCUACGGGAGGCAGCAGUGGGGAAUUUUGGACAAUGGGCGCAAGCCUGAUCCAGCAAUGCCGCGUGCAGGAUGAAGGCCUUCGGGUUGUAAACUGCUUUUGUACGGAACGAAAAGCCCCGGGUUAAUACCCUGGGGUCAUGACGGUACCGUAAGAAUAAGCACCGGCUAACUACGUGCCAGCAGCCGCAGUAA